rnacentral:lncRNA from 1 species
GGAAGGGGAAAUCCUACCAGCAUCUUCAAGGAAUACUAUAGCAUUAACUAUAUACUGACUAUCAGAAAAUAAAUUAAAUACAGAAUCUUUAAACAUCACAAAAGCUUGUGAUACUGCAUUAAGCUCUACCUUUUGAGCUGAUUGUUUGGGUACUAAAAAUGUAAAAGUUUGAUCAGGGGUUACUACUGCUGCUGUACCAUUAUUUGACCCAUCAAUGAAUACAUUUGGAGCAUUCAUGAUAGGUGUUUUUCUUGUCAUUUUUGGAAAAACUACAGGAUGCAAAGACCAAAAAGACAACAAAGGAUUAGAUGGUAACUGAUUAUCAAAUGAAACAUUAGAUUUGCACAUGAUUAUUGCCCAAGUAUUUAACUCAUUAGCUAACUCAUCAAUUUGAUUCAUAGUAUAUGGAGUAAUAAUUUUAUUGGGAGAAAUUCCAAACACUCCCUUUGUUGCUUUUAUUCCUUUGAGUAUUAAUUGUCCUACAUCCUCAGGAUACCUAGUAAGAAUAGUGUUAGGAGAAUAAG